rnacentral:ncRNA from 1 species
CGAAAAGUAAUGAUAAGGACAUGAGAUUAUUUUUACGGUUUACAGAGAGGGAAGCCAAGGGCUGUGAGCUUCCUAACACGAGAAAUAAACUUACCACCUUUGAACUCCGAUAGUGAACGAGUAAUCUAGUAAUUAUUGGCGGUCUCAGCCGUUAUCUGAACUUGAGCAAUUCAAAAUGAAAGUAUAUUUGAAUUGGAACAAGGGUGGAACCACGAAAACACAUUCGUCCCUUUU